UACGUAGGGGGCAAGCGUUGUCCGGAAUCAUUGGGCGUAAAGGGCGCGUAGGCGGCUAUAUAAGUCUGAUGUGAAAGUGCGGGGCUUAACUCCGUAAAGCAUUGGAAACUAUAUGGCUUGAGGACAGGAGAGGAAAGUGGAAUUCCACGUGUAGCGGUGAAAUGCGUAGAGAUGUGGAGGAACACCAGUGGCGAAGGCGACUUUCUGGACUGUAACUGACGCUGAGGCGCGAAAGCGUGGGGAGCGAACAGGAUUAGAUACCC
rnacentral:rRNA from 1 species